rnacentral:rRNA from 1 species
UACGGAGGGGGCUAGCGUUGUUCGGAAUUACUGGGCGUAAAGCGCACGUAGGCGGCUUUGCAAGUCAGAGGUGAAAGCCCGGGGCUCAACCCCGGAACUGCCUUUAAGACUGCAUCGCUUGAAUCCAGGAGAGGUGAGUGGAAUUCCGAGUGUAGAGGUGAAAUUCGUAGAUAUUCGGAAGAACACCAGUGGCGAAGGCGGCUCACUGGACUGGUAUUGACGCUGAUGUGCGAAAGCGUGGGGAGCAAACAGG